rnacentral:rRNA from 1 species
UACAGAGGGUGCUAACGUUGUUCGGAAUCACUGGGCAUAAAGCGCACGUAGGCGGCUCGUCAAGUGCGGUGUGAAAUCCCACGGCUUACCCGUGGAAAUGCGCUGCAGACUGACGGGCUCGAGGACGGUAGGGGAGAGCGGAACUCCUGGUGGAGCGGUGAAAUGCGUAGAUAUCAGGAGGAACACCGGUGGCGAAGGCGGCUCUCUGGUCCGUUUCUGACGCUGAGGUGCGAAAGCCAGGGGAGCAAACGGG